CCUACGGGAGGCAGCAGUGAGGAAUAUUGGUCAAUGGACGAGAGUCUGAACCAGCCAAGUAGCGUGAAGGAUGACUGCCCUAUGGGUUGUAAACUUCUUUUAUAUGGGAAUAAAACGUUCCACGUGUGGGAUUUUGUAUGUACCAUAUGAAUAAGGAUCGGCUAACUCCGUGCCAGCAGCCGCGGUAAUACGGAGGAUCCGAGCGUUAUCCGGAUUUAUUGGGUUUAAAGGGAGCGUAGGUGGAUUGUUAAGUCAGUUGUGAAAGUUUGCGGCUCAACCGUAAAAUUGCAGUUGAAACUGGCAGUCUUGAGUACGGUAGAGGUGGGCGGAAUUCGUGGUGGAGCGGUGAAAUGCUUAGAUAUCACGAAGAACUCCGAUUGCGAAGGCAGUUCACUGGACUGCAACUGACACUGAGGCUCGAAAGUGUGGGUAUCAAACAGGAUUAGAUACCCGAGUAGUC
rnacentral:rRNA from 1 species